GCGUUGGCGGGAGCCUCUGACACGCGGCCCACAUUCUGGCCGCCGGGACCGCGCCGAGCCACUGGCGAGACCGACCCGCUGAGGC
rnacentral:ncRNA from 1 species